CUGCGUGAGGCUAUUUCUUUUUAUGCUCUUUGCCUAAGCAAAAGGAGUUCCCAGACACAAGACGUUAAGGCAGGCUGGGUUUAGACCAGGUCAAUCUGCCUCAAUUCUAGGCGUCAGGAAGCCAUAUGAAAGCUGACAUCUACUGAAACAUUAAAAUUAACCAUAACGGUUACCCUUAUUUUUGGUGUGGCAAACUGCACAAUUCUUGCCAGAACAAAUGCCAUCAACUGCCUCAGGGCACUCCUUGGUUUGACUGUUCUUUAUGUGGUUGGGUGUGAGGGAGACAGGAAGCCAUUGCCCAGGACUCCAUCCUGACUCCCUCUAGUGACAGACAGGAAGCACAGUGUCUUUUAAUAAAAGGCUCCUGUUUAAAACCUUUGCAGGGAGUACCGCACCUUCUCUCUGGGAUUUGGGAAAAGGGAAGAAAAAUUGAAAACCCCAGGCUCUGUGUGGACUGCAAGAAAUGGUAGAGCUCAAGGCUUCUCUAGUCUUAUGAGAACUUGUACUACUGAAUUUGCGAAUUUUGUUUUUUUGAGCUGGACCGAUCUCUGGGGGACGACGUUGAGCUAGGAUGGCAUUUCACUGUGAUCCCCCAAGUUCAAGCCAGUCUUUAACUCAGUGUUGGCUUAAGUUUCCCUGGAGCUGGCACGUCAGCUUUUCUUCAGUGACAGUUGGUGUUCCUCUUGAUUUGGGUAUAUGUGCUUAGUUCAGAGUCUGUUCUGUAUCUGCUAUCCUAACUAUUCAUUGUAUUCAUUGAUUUUUGUUUUGUUUUGUUACCUUGCUUGAAGAUUGAUUUGUAUUGAAUUUGAUAGAAAUAAAUGUUUUUUCCGCUUAAUAUGUGAUGGAAUUUCAUAAAUGCAUUAUUCUCUGUUUUGCUGUUUAUACCCUGUAAAGCUUCACAGGCUCUCUCUGAUUUGUACCACUUGGGAGUUCUUCUGUUAUCCACAGUUGUCGAUAAUCUGCAAAAAGAGGCAAACAGUGUAACAACCUACACAAAGUAAUGAUGGUGAAGCAAACAUGCCUCGGGUUCUGUUUGUUUUCCCACUGUAUCGUUGCUAUGUCCUUGUGCCCUCCUGUUCCCUGCUUGCCCCGUCCUUUACCUGUUAAACCCGGAGCCCUUUGCGAGGUUGUCUGCUGAACUGGGGCUGUAAGAAGUUCCUAAGUGCCCUUUCAGAAGAAACCUGAGAGAAUGAAGGCAUAGCCCUUUUCCCAACCCUGGUAUGGCCGCCUCAUCUAUGGGGCCUUCCAUAGCUGAAACCCACUGAAAGCAAGUUCUAAACUCACGUGUCCAGGCAGGAUCGGAAAGUCCAUCUGGAUAGGAUGACUGUGUGGUAGGUUGUCAUAUGGUCGAGAUACUCACACUCCCUCACUGGGAGAAGUUUACAUCCCUGCUCUCUGGGCUUCUGCAUACUGGGGCAUUCAUUGCCUUGCUGGGGGCAUUAAAAUGAGUAGAUACACUGUGCCACUUUAGAGCUGGUACUGGAAGAGUCAGAGGUCUUGUAGUGAUAUGGGCAAUGCUAUGGAUUCUUAAGGGGGAAACAGAGAGCAGACAUGUACCCAGUCCAUAAUGGGCGAGUAGUAUCUGAAAAUAAAAUUGGGGUUUUAAAAGCC
rnacentral:lncRNA from 1 species